GAUGAACGCUGGCGGCGUGCCUAAUACAUGCAAGUCGAGCGAAUGGAUUGAGAGCUUGCUCUUAUGAAGUUAGCGGCGGACGGGUGAGUAACACGUGGGUAACCUGCCCAUAAGACUGGGAUAACUCCGGGAAACCGGGGCUAAUACCGGAUAACAUUUUGAACCGCAUGGUUCGAAAUUGAAAGGCGGCUUCGGCUGUCACUUAUGGAUGGACCCGCGUCGCAUUAGCUAGUUGGUGAGGUAACGGCUCACCAAGGCAACGAUGCGUAGCCGACCUGAGAGGGUGAUCGGCCACACUGAGACUGGGACACGGCCCAGACUCCUACGGGAGGCAGCAGUAGGGAAUAUUCCGCAAUGGACGAAAGUCUGACGGAGCAACGCCACGUGAGUGAUGAAGGCUUUCGGGUCGUAAAACUUUGUUGUUAGGGAAGAACAAGUGCUAGUUGAAUAAGCUGGCACCUUGACGGUACCUAACCAGAAAGCCACGGCUAACUACGUGCCAGCAGCCGCAGUAA
rnacentral:rRNA from 1 species